rnacentral:rRNA from 1 species
GUGUCAGCAGCCGCGGUAAUACGAAGGGGGCGAGCGUUGUUCGGAGUUACUGGGCGUAAAGGGCGCGUAGGCGGCGCUCCAAGUUAGGCGUGAAAGCCCCGGGCUCAACCUGGGAAUUGCGCUUAAGACUGGAGUGCUCGAGUGCGGAAGAGGUGAGUGGAAUUCCCAGUGUAGAGGUGAAAUUCGUAGAUAUUGGGAAGAACACCAGUGGCGAAGGCGGCUCACUGGUCCGCAACUGACGCUGAGGCGCGAAAGCGUGGGGAGCAAACAGGAUUAGAUACCCUGGUAGUCCACGCCGUAAACGAUGAGUGCUAGACGUUGGGGGACUCAGUCCCUUGGUGUCGCAGCUAACGCAUGAAGCACUCCGCCUGGGGAGUACGGCCGCAAGGUUAAA